AACGAACGCUGGCGGCGCGUUUUAAGCAUGCAAGUCGAAGGAUAAGCUAGUGCUUGCACUAGUGGACACUGGCGCACGGGUGAGUAACACGUGAGAAUCUACCUAUGAGUGGGGGAUAGCUUAUGGAAACAUAGGGUAAUACCGCAUUUGCCUAUUGGUUAAAGCUCCAAUUGGAGUGCUCAUAGAUGAGCUCGCGGCCCAUUAGCUAGUUGGCGGGGUAAAGGCCCACCAAGGCAUCGAUGGGUAGCCGGCCUGAGAGGGUGAACGGCCACAUUGGGACUGAGACACGGCCCAG
rnacentral:rRNA from 1 species